UGGGGAAUAUUGGACAAUGGGGACAACCCUGAUCCAGCCAUGCCGCGUGAGUGAUGAAGGCCUUCGGGUUGUAAAGCUCUUUUGGCGGGGACGAUAUGACGGUACCCGCAGAAUAAGCCCCGGCUAACUUCGUGCCAGCAGCCGCGUAAGACAAGGGGGCGUAAGCGUUGUUCGGAAUUACUGGGCGUAAAGCGCGUGUAGGCGGUUGUUCAAGUCAGGUGUGAAAGCCUUGAGCUCAACUCAAGAAAUGCACUUGAUACUGGAUGACUAGAGGACCGGAGAGGAUAGUGGAAUUCCCAGUGUAGUGGUGAAAUAC
rnacentral:rRNA from 1 species